rnacentral:snoRNA from 3 species
UCGUAUGAUGACUUUCCCGAUAGGGACAUCUGAUGCAAAUUGCAUAUGAUGUUAUCAGGACAAGAUAUUUUAGUAGAUGCUUCUUGACUAUCUGAAA